UUAAUUAAAGCCAAAAAGAGGCACAUAGCUGUUAACUAUGGAACUGAGUAAAUACUCUAAUUAAG
rnacentral:tRNA from 1 species